UCCGUGGCAUCCUCUUGAGGUUGGCCUCCGGGGUGGAGAACCCGAUGGGAGAACCCCUCAGAGAGACUCGAGGGACUGAAGAUGGUGGAGGGCUGACAGAGAUGGCAAAGACUGGUGCGAAGGAUGCUUGGAGUCGAAAAGGACACCGAUGGAGUGGCUGAGUGGCUAAGCUCUCAGGCAGAAGAAAGGUGUCAACCCUCAGGCGAAG
rnacentral:lncRNA from 1 species